rnacentral:lncRNA from 1 species
GGCCUGCUUGUAAAUACGCCCGCCUUAAUAUUUCCGCUCCUCGUGUCGGGAUUUUUUGUGGCUCGCCAUUCGCCGAGGGCGGGGUCCGUGAGAAACGAGAGCCCCAGCCCGAGUGGAACCGCGUCUGCCGUCAGAUUUGCUGCCCGGACGGCCCGGAUGCUUAAAGGAAAAUUGUUGCAUCAGAGUUCGCUGUUAGCCUCGAUCAAUCUCCGUGCAUUUUACCGUUUUUGAGACGUGCCUCGUGAUGAGAGAUUGAAAAAAAAAAGUGUACUAGUAGUACGUAUCCGUGAGGGAGGACGUGAAAGAAAGCGGAAUUUAGUCNNNNNNNNNNNNNNNNNNNNNNNNNNNNNNNNNNNNNNNNNNNNNNNNNNNNNNNNNNNNNNNNNNNNNNNNNNNNNNNNNNNNNNNNNNNNNNNNNNNNNNNNNNNNNNNNNNNNNNNNNNNNNNNNNNNNNNNNNNNNNNNNNNNNNNNNNNNNNNNNNNNNNNNNNNNNNNNNNNNNNNNNNNNNNNNNNNNNNNNNNNNNNNNNNNNNNNNNNNNNNNNNNNNNNNNNNNNNNNNNNNNNNNNNNNNNNGAAAGGCGCUGUGGCGUUUCUGCUCGCUUGCCGCGAUGGUGUUGGGGGGGUCUGCGCCGCUGAUUUGUGAAAUCAUGACGCCCACCCAGCCCAGAGCGUGUGCGCAUCGACGCCCACUACUGCCACUCGCUCUUUACUGGUAGAGUGAGUGAAAGCGUAGAUAAGAUUUUACUCGAAGAUCGAGGGUGAAAAGAUGCGGCGUCGUGUGUGUGUGUGGUGCGCUCAACCAUGCUACGACUCAAACUGUUUUGCAGCCAAGUGCUAGUACUAACUAUGGUGUAGUAGCGUAUGAACAAUGCAACAGUGCUUACUUACGACGGAUGAGUGGUCGUAUCAUCAAGCGAGCACUGCGCAGCGCCGACCGCGCCAUACGCAGGAGCUGUCAAGGAGUACUACAACGUUGUACAGGUGGUCCUCGUGUCGUGCUGCCCCGGUUUGGCACGCCAAUGCCGAUGCCAGUGCCCAUUGCCGUACCCCCAUCUACUGGCAAUGCCACCGCUGCUGCUCCCCCACCAUGCCCGCCCCAUCGUCAAGUGUACACGCAUUUUCGUUCUCGUCUCCUCGCCCAUAAACACGACCCCGGAAACCGUCGCCUCGGAGUCCACGUCGCGAGUGACAACGAGGAAGGCGACCGAUGAAUGCAACGCAGCGCGGGGUCCGUGUCAAUGUCAUGACUCGUGCAUGGCCAGGAGCGCAGUCACUCAUCCGUUCAUUUAACGCCCUAUCUAGACGAGGCCAAGCCGAGUCUGACGACCCCAAAGAUCUUUCUCCCCGGAUCACGGCGGCCGGCCCCCCACCAAUGCCGCCGCACGGAAACGGGCCGCGGGUCUUGUUGAUGGAUCUUUUACUUGCGGGACGGCACGGAACGGAAGAUUCAGCAAUGAUGCCGAUCGAUGCCCGUCCGUCCGUCCUGCUCUGCUGACGGCAACGUGGCCUGCAUGGCCCCCCGGUCUUCAUGGCGCUUUUGAUUAAGGGACGUGCAGUGCAGUGCAGUGCAGUGAUCCUCAAACUUGUGAUUUUAGUACGUACUCGGGCCGGGGUAGCUGCGACCUCGGCGUCUCGCGUGACGCUGGUCAAGGGGGUCAUAAACCUGAUUAGCUGAGGGGUCACAUGAUUAGUUCAAGGAAUUAGCUCAAAGUUCACGGUACCGGACGUGUCAUGCCGUCUUUUCCUCGUACCAUGAUGGAAUACUCCUCCAUGGUCCAUACGUCUAAGCAUGCUCGUCUUGGAUGAUAGAUGGAGCAACAAGGCUACGGGCCAUAUGCCCAGAAUUUGGGGCGCACGCAUGAGAGAGAGAGAGAGAGAGAGAGCCUGUAGGGCGCACAGUUCCUUCCAGAAUCUCGCCUUGCCACGCCCAAGGGAGCGCGGUGCCAAUAACGAGCUCCAAAACCGCGCGGAUCGCCAGGCCACUACCAACAGAGCCAGCUAGGCGACGUCGAGGCUCGGCGGGGCGCCGAUCAUCAUCAUCGGCAACCAUGUCCAUAUGUCACCGCGUGUGUCGGAUCGCUCACUGUGCGGCGUGCUACAGAAAGCUCACGAUGGAGCAGAUUAGGAGGGGAGGGGGGGCCGGGCCGGGCUCCCUCGGGGGACGGGGAGCACGCAGCUGAUUGGGAAGUUGCAUCGUGUCCCUCUGCGAUGUCCCCUGCCCGCGGCCUCCUGUCCAUCUCCGCCGCGGACCGGCCACUUGCCGCUGCUGUUUCGGUUGGGCCAGCGCCAUGAUGAGCCCCCGCCCUUCGCACGUCCCGGUCGCUCUCGUGUGCUACUAGUACACCACCGAGGGUGAGUGAGUGAGUGAGCUAUCCACCUACCAGCUCCUACGUUUGGUGGCUUCAUGUGAUCUGAGCGUACAUAUUUGCUCACCGGACUAAGUUUGAUCACGGUUCAGUGGAAUCAUCCUAAACAUUCCGUCUAGGGAAGUGUUGGUCUAUUUGCGUAUUUGGCAUGGCCGAAACGACGUGAUUUUGGAUGAAAGAAAAAAAAAGGCUUGAUGCCGAUUAAAACAAGUGGUCGUCGGAUAUGGCGGCUUGGCGUGAGAUCUGCGCAAGUGAAGCGAAAUACGCACCCCGCGCGAAUGAGAUCACAUUACAAAGCCGAAGGGGCAAUGUGGCACCGGCUUCCAAGAUUUCUACCUAUUUAACCAAUCCCUUGGCCCAACUCCACCGCGCGACUCUAUCCUGUCUGACCCCGUCCAUUUGGAGUAAAACGGAUAAAGGAGGCGGCCCAGCGCGCGACGGUCCGGACCCAUCUUGUCCGUUUUGUGUCCGGGCCAACCCAUUUCAAACGCAAACUUGCGCCGGGUUUGGGUCGCGGCGGACAGCAAACGGACGCGCGCUCGUCCGCGUCGGGGCCACGUGGCAGGCGGCCACCUACCUCCCACCCGCCCACAUCAAUGCGCACGAGCGGGCGGCCCCACCUGUCAUCCGCACGUCGAGCGGUCGCCGUCCUUUAAGUGGGAAGCGUGGACGGGUCGUCGUCCACACUGCCCCACGCCACCCCGCGGCCUCCUCGAAACCCGACAGCGGCGACCACGUCCCAAACCCUAGCCUAGACCUCGCCGGCCGGCCGCCCGGAGCCAUGGGCCUCUGGAACUACGGCCGCAAAGGCAGGCACGACCGCGAGGCCGGCUCCUCGUUGGGACGCCGCCGCGGCUCGGUGAAGAAGGAGGAGCCCGCCUCGCCAUCGCCACCACGUCGGGCCCCUGCGCCGCCCGCCUUCUCCAUCGCGCCCACGUCCGCCGGCGAGCGCGACCGGCAUUACGUCCGAGCGUCGGUGUGCCGUCGUUAUUGGGAGACGAGGACGCCGCUCCCCUGGAGCGACGCCCAUCUCCCCAAUAACUGGCACCUCUCCGCCGACCGGAUCCCCAUCCCGCCGGUCCCGACGAGCGGCCGUGCGCGCGACGAGGAGAUCGAGCGCCGCCGCCGCCUCCUCCCCGACGACCUAUUCUACGACGCCAGGUACGCCCCCGACUCCCCGCUGUGGGACACCUGGUUUCGUGACGAGCACGACACCAGGCGCGCCUCCUUCUUCGCCGGCACCUCGACGGGGCCGCGGCGGCCACGGGAGCGCGCCCAGGAGCGCGGGCGUAGGCGGGUCCGCGGCGUCAUGCCCACGCCGUCGCCGUCUCCGUCGCCCCCUCCACCUCCUCGCAUGUCAGCGGAGGAGGAGGCCCGUCUCCUCAAGCGUGUCAUGGACGACUCCAUGUACACGCACGACGAGCGGCAGUGGGACGGCCUGGAGGAGGCCAUGGCCCUCUCUGCCGCCAGGGACGUCGCCUUCCCGGAGCUCCAGAUGGUGGCCGUGGAGGACGAGAGGAGGGAGGACCCGCCGGCCGCGUUCCAGCAGCUGCUGGGCCAGGGGUGGUGCUGGUCCUGCACUGCUCCGGAGAUGUCCGCCGGCGUGGGCGUGAACUGGUGCCCCACUCCGCCGCGGUCACCGGAGCGGGAGGCCUCGCCACGGGAGAAGGUGGUGCAGGCCGUCCAGCCCGCCCCCGUCCACCACGCACCUCCGGCCCACCUGUGGACGCCGCCGGACUACGUCGACCUCGUCAGCGACGACGACGACACCGGCGGCCAGUGAAGACGGCGACGGCCACGGCACCGACGGGCGCGGCAGGAGCACGCGGGAUGUGGAGGCGUUUUUUAACUUUGUUUUAUAUGUUAAUUAUGAAAACCGGGCCUUUUAAGUGGCUGUGCAAACUGGGCCGUUUAAGUGGCCGUCCCCUAUAUAUGUUUUAUGUUUUUUUUAAAAUGCUUUUAUUUAGUUUUUUAGUUAUUUCAUUCUAGUUUUUUAUAUUUGUUUUAAUUCACGUCCACCCCGGACACGAUUUGGGAUGCGGCCGCGUGGUGCGCGCACGAACGACCCAUCUGACAAAGGCGGACACGGGUGAACCCAUCGGCGUCUCAAAGGGACAAAAUCCGGACAAUCCGGACGUCCGUUUGGGAUCAUGCGGAGGAGUUGGCCUUAUGUUGCGACAAGCAUGUCGACUCUCUAACCAUCGUUGAAAGCUUUUGUGUGCGGGUAGAGCGAAAUACUACUGCCCAAACGGUAGGCUGAAGGCCGGUAUUUUCAGCGCAAACCCCUCAUCCACAUGGCAGACAAUUUGUGAUGGACCCGAAUUAUUGGAGAAGGGGCCCAUUUAGCGAAUCGACAAUGGGCAAAAAGUGAGAAUUUGAAGAUAUCAGGAUCACGUGAGCACAGUCGUGUAUAGAGUGGUGUGGUGGCAGGAUCGGAGCUGGCCACGUUGGGUCGGAGCCGGAUACGUCGAUCUGUUAACCGGUGUUGAUAUGAGAGACUGUGAAGCAACUUCAACUUCAAUAUCAAACAUUGAGAAACUGUCUGACACCUGUUGGAGAUUUAUUAGAACUUGAGGAUAGCACCAAAUGCAUGAGUACAGUUGGUGUGCUUCUAUUCGUGGCUCUUACAAGGUUUGGCAUUGCUUCUUUGUAAACAAGAUAUGCUAAUAUUUGCAUGCUCCAAAAAGCUACCCAUCGGGCAUCAACUAAAAGGACCUUGGCAUAGAUUAAAUAAAAUUAUAAGUGCUUACUUGAUCUUUAGGUCACCAUCCACCUCAGUGAGUGCAUUUUUGGGCGCUAAUUGUGCAUGUUGUAUUGAUGAUAGAAGGUCAACACGUCGGUCUGCUAUAUUUUUUUGAGCAAACUUCAUAUCUUGGAAUGCCAUGAAACAUUCUACAGUCUCAAGAACAAGCAUAGACGACUCACCUGAAAUAAAGCACAAAAUAUGAAUACAAAGUGCUUGCAACUGGAACGUAUGAGAUUAUUUGGAUAUAAUCAUUGCUUAGUGAGCCUAUUGUUGGAAAUAUGAGCAAUUUACCAAAUGAUUUUAUUAACAAAAAUACUAGAUAAAGCAUGACUAAUAUAGUAGAGAUAAAACAAAUCAUGCGUUCUGACAGAGAGAAGGUAAAUAGCUUCUGCAUAUAUGAACCCUAGCCUAUCAACUCUAUAGCAGACAGUAGAACUAGUUGCAUAUAUGAGGUAGAACCUAACAUAUUUAGGGCAAGUACUAGUAUGAGAAACUGUGGCAGGAUAUCUAACAGAAAGAAGAACACAUACGGCACAGCAGCAGCAGUAGCACUAGACUUGGGGUCGGUGUCCUCGCCAGCCAUGUCGUCGAGGAGGUUGUCGAUGCCGGGGAAGAAGUCGUCGUCGGGGAAGUAGUCGUCGGAGUCCGGGGCGUCCGUGAUGAAGGAGUCAGCCAGUAGUCGCGCAGAACGCUCCCCAAAAACCUUAUCACCCUUCUCCCGUACAAGACUCAAAGAGGUGCGGUUUCGAAGGCCUACUGUCCCAACCUGCGGUGCACGCCGCAAGCCGGGAUGAGGAAGACAACAGCAGCUCAGAGAUUGGAACCGGUGGCGAGAGGAAGGAGAAGUUCUGGUGCGUCUCUCUGAGAGGAGCGACCUCCCUUUUAUAGACGCAAGAGAAGGAGUCGAGAGGUUGCGCCGGGAGCUGAAGGGAACGUGGGAGAUGAAACGAACUGACAACAGUCGAAGGGUGCAGCGUUCGUAUUCAAUAUCCACUACAGCAAAAACUUUCCAGCUCCCGAGUGACCUUUCGUAUACCCGGCGGGCGGCGGAGCAGCGCGCGUGGAUGUCCCUCUUGUUCUCAUGAUCAUACAAGUGGGGAAAGAACCUCCCUUAUAAGGAGGUCCAACUCCCACUAAACUAGCAAUGUUGGACUAAACUUUAGUAGUAUCCCUUACUUUGCACAAAUGGGUUAAGUGGGCCUCUAGAAUUUAUUAGGAAUUUCUGAAAUAGUUAUUGGGCUGCCCCCAAUAUAGACUAAAUUCCAGCAAUCCCCCACCAGAUCCUAGACGCACACAGAGAUUUGCCUUUGGUUCCAAAACACUGUUUUAUAUACCGGUACUGCAGCGGAGACUGUUAAGUUGAACUUCCACCUAGAACUCUAUGCUACACUAGUAAGCAACUUGAACAGUGGACUGGGCCUUGAACUGCAAGUUUUCUGCGAAUCUAGCUUCACAUAAAGCCUUGACCGAUACGUGGCUACCGUGGGUCUUCCCCGCGGGUGGAGCUUAUGCGUCAUACUCCGAGACCUUUCAUGAGUUACUAGAGAGAACCCUACUCUCAUAGAUUGCGACGUUUGACAAUCAGACUCAUAUAGGUGUGUUCUUCAAAAGAUGUUCUGCAGGACAACAUCUCUAUUUAAAUGAGCCACUUAGAACACAUUAAGAUAUACAUCAACCUGCCAUGAAGAUUAGGAGAGUAUUGCAUCUUCAUGGAGUGGUAUUGUUGAUAGUAAGGAUACUCUCCUCUCAGUUGACCAACAACUUGUCUUCCACAUCUAAUUCACGGGAUCUCCGAUCACAAAGAAUAGGUUACCACUGUGAACAACUCAUAUUGUGGGUCUCAUACCCAUCUCCCUCGAUGCAUUAUCUAUCACAUUACGUGAUAGACCCUUAGUAAAAGAAUCUGCCAGAUUUUUAGACGUUUGGAUAUAAUCCAAUGCAAUAACUCCAGAGUUUCUCAUUUUUCUGACAGACUUUAACCUUCUCUGAACGUGUCUUGAUGACUUCAUGUUAUCCUUUAAGCUGCUCACUUUCGUGAUCACAGUUUGAUUGUCGCAGUUCAUAAGAAUAUGUGGUACAGGUUUCUCAACAACCAGCAAGUCAUUCAAGAGCCGACGAAGCCAAUCUGCUUCGACCGUAGCUGUAUCUAGUGUUGUGAGUUCUGCUUCCAUUGUUGACCUCGUUAAGAUGGUAUGCUUGCAAGACUUCCAAGAAACAGCGUCACCUCCAUGAGUGAAUACAUAUCCGCUCGUGGCCUUUAUCUCAUCAGCAUCUGAGAUCCAAUUUGAGUCACUAUACCCUUCAAGCACCUUUGGGUGCCCGGUGUAGUGAAUUCCAUAAUUUGCAGUGCCUUUCAAAUAACGCAAAACUCUCUCUAGAGCUUUCCAAUGCACAUCUCCUGGUUUUGAGACAAACCGACUCAGUUUGCUAACAGCAAAAGAGAUGUCAGGUCUUGUAGCACUGGCUAAGUACAUAAGCGAGCCAAUAAUCUGAGAAUAUUUCAAUUGAUCUCUAGCAAUUCUUCGAUUCUUUCGAAGUAACACACUCGCAUCAUAUGGUGUUGGAGAGGGCUUGCAGUCACUGUAGCCAAAGCGACUCAAGAUCUUUUCCACAUAGUGAGAUUGAAGCAAUGUAAUCCCACCAUCAUCGUCUCUCAACAACUUGAUGUUCAGAAUGACAUCAACCACUCCUAAAUCCUUCAUCUCAAAAUAACGAGACAGAAAUUUUUUGAACUCCUUCAUAACAUUCAGAUUUGUUCCGAAAAUCAGUAUGUCAUCAACAUACAAGCAAAGGAUAACUCCCUGGCCCCCACCAUGGCGAUAGUACACACAUUUGUCAGCUUCGUUUACAACAAAGCAUGCAGUUGUUAAAGUAUUUUCAAACUUCUCAUGCCACUGUUUGGGUGCUUGCUUGAGUCCAUACAAAGACUUUAGCAACUUGCACACUUUUUCUUCCUGACCAUCUAGUACAAACCCAUCUGGUUGUUCCAUAUAAAUUUCCUCGUCCAACUCUCCAUUUAGGAAAGCAGUCUUAACAUCCAUUUGAUGAACGAGAAGACCAUGCGAGGCAGCUAGUGAAAGUAGAACUCGAAUAGUGGUCAGUCGAGCCACAAGUGAGUAAGUAUCAAAAAAGUCUUCACCUUCCUUUUGGGUAUAACCCUUAGCCACGAGCCGAGCCUUGUACUUUUCAAUAGUACCAUCAGGCCUAAGCUUCUUCUUGAAUACCCAUUUACAUCAUAUAGGUUUGCACCCAUCAGGAUGAUCAGUUAUCUCCCAAGUUUCAUUCGCCAAGAUGGAAUCCAUCUCGCUACGAACCGCUUCCUUCCAGUAGUCAGCAUCUUCAAAUGCAUAAGCCUCUGAAAUAGAACUGAGAGUGUCAUCUAUGAGAUACACAAGAAAAUCAUCACCAAAGGACUUUGCAGUCCUCUGUCUCUUGCUCCUAGUAGGAACUUCAUUGUUUUCCUCCACAGGACUUUCAAAGUGUUCUAUCGAAAUGGCAGGUUUGGUAAUUGUAACUGGUUCCUAAUUCGAUGAACUAGGCAUCUCCUGAUUAGAUGAGGUAGCCAUAUCCUUCAUGGGAAAAAUAUCUUCAAAGAAAGUCGCAUCAUUCGACUCCAUGAUCAUACCGACAUGCAUGUCAGGUACCUCAGAUUUUACAACCAAGAAUCUAUAGCCAAUGCUAUGAAAAGCAUAUCCCAGGAAAACACAAUCCACAUUCUUUGGUCCAAGCUUCCGCUUCUUUGGAAUUGGAACAUUGACUUUCGCCAAACAACCCCAUGUUCGCAGAUAAUAGAGUUUUAACAUUUUCUUCUCCCAUUCCUCUAAUGGAGUUAUCUCUUUGUUCUUUGUGUGGGCUCGGUUCAGGACAUGACAUGCGGUCAAUAUCGCCUCCCCCCUCCAUGCCUUGGAGAGACCCGAUGUGUCUAACAUGGCAUUAACCAAAUCAGUUAGAGUAUGGUUCUUUCUUUCGGCCACCCCAUUUGACUGAGGUGAGUAGGGAGGCGUCCUCUCAUGGAUUAUACCAUGUUUCGCACAAAAAGCAUCAAAUUCAUUGGAAAAAUACUCUCCACCACGGUCGGACCUAAGCCUCUUGAUUUUUCGAUCAAGUUGGUUUUCCACUUCAGCUUUAUAGAUCUUGAAAAAGUUCAAAGCCUCAUCCUUAGAUUUCAGAAGAUACACACGACAGUAUCUAGUGGAGUCGUCAAUUAACAUCAUGAAAUAUUUCUUUCCACCUUUUGUCAAAACACCAUUCAUUUCACAUAGAUCUGAAUGUAUGAGCUCUAGUGGUGCAAGAUUUCUCGUUUCCGCAGUCGUGUGAGACUUACGAGGUUGCUUAGCUUGCACACAAACUUGACACUUAGAUCCCUUGACAGUGGUGAAACUAGGGAUUAAGUUCAACUUUGCUAGUCGCGACAUGCAAUCAAAAUUAACAUGACAGAGACGUGAAUGCCACACAUUGGAUUCACUAUUGUUGCAAAUAUGAUUAACAACUUUAUUGCAAACAUCUGAUAAGGAUAAACGAAACAGACCUCCUGAAUCAUAGCCUUUACCAACAAAGGUUUCAUACUUGGAUAUUACAAAUUUAUUCGACUCAAAGACAAGCUUGUAGCCAUCUCUACACAGAAGAGAUCCGCUAACAAGAUUUUUAUAGAGGGGACAUAAUGCACGUUCUUCAGCCGCACGAUCUUCCCCGAAGUAAACUUCAGAUUGACCGUGUCAAAACCACGAACUGAAGCACUUGAACCGUUGCCCAUCAUCACGGUUGAAGUCCCUGCGGUCUGAUAAGAUGAAAACAUGGAAAUAUCACCGCAUACAUGCACAUUAGCACCCGUGUCAAUCAACCAAUCAGGAGAAUGACAUACUGAAAGAAUAGUGGGAAAUAUACCAUACCCAUCAUCCUUCAUGUCAGUGUCUCCAAUGACAACAUUAGCGGUCUUGCCGCCUUUCCCAGGGUGAUGCUUGUCAUAGCAAUUAGGGCAACUAGGAGCCCAAUGAUCAGGAUCCCCACACACAUGACAGACACAUUUCUUCUUGUCAUUCUUCUUCUUGAAGUUUGUGUGUUGCACAACUUUGUUCUUCCCAUCAAACUUUGCUUUACCAUCAAACUUGCCCUUGUUCUUGAACUUGUGGGGUUGGAAGUUCUUCUUCUGUACCAGAUCCUCCCUCAAUACCUCGAGCACGUGUGUCCUUUGCUCUGGCCUUUUCUUCCACAUCAAGAGUGCCAAUGAGAUCCGGGACGGAAAACUCUUGUCUCUUAUGCUUCAGCAAGGUAGCAAAGUUCCUCCAUGAAGGAGGAAGCUUAGUGAUGAUACCUCCGGCAACAAACUUGUCCGGUAGCAUACAACCGAAGUGCUCAAGUUCUCUAGCAAAUGACUGUAUCUCAUGAGUUUGCUCAACCACGGAGCGCUCUUCAGUCAUCCUGUAGUCAUAGAAUUGCUCCAUGAUGUACAACUCAGUGCCAGCAUCCGAGACCCCAAACUUGGCCUCGAGUGCAUCCCACAUAUCUUUUCCAUUAUCAAUUGACGCAUAAGCAUCAACUAUGUUCUCACCAAGAACACUCAAGAGAGCAUCCUUAAACAGAGUAUCCAUUUUCUGAAAGGCUUGUGCCUGUUGAGCAUCAAGCUCCCCUUCAGGUUUGCCGAGAGUGGCGUCAUAGCAACUCAUGGUUUGAAACCAUAAGACUGCUAUCACGCGCCACCUCUUAUAGUGGAUACCCUCAAACAUAGGAGGUCUCACGGAAGCAGCAAAACCACUUAGGGUAAAUUGCCUAUAAUAAGGUUUUUGGAUUGUUGGAAAUAUAAGCAAUUUACCAAAUGAUUUUAUUAACAGAAAUACUAGAUAAAGCAUGACUAAUAUAGUAGAGAUAAAACAAGUCAUGCGUUCUGACAGAGAGAAGGUAAAUAGCUUCUGCAUAUAUGAACUGUAGCCAAUCAUAUCUAUAGCAGACAGUAGAACUAGUUGCAUAUAUGAGGUAUAACCUAACAUAUUUAGGGCAAGUACUAGUACGAGAAACCGUGGCAGGAUAUCUAACAGAAAGAAGAACACAUACGGGACAACAGCAGCAGUAGCACUGGACUUGGGGUCGGUGUCCUCGCCAACCAUGUCGUCGAGGAGGUUGUCGACGUCGGGGAAGAAGUCGUCGUCGGGGAAGUAGUCGUCGGAGUCCGGGGCGUCCGUGAUGAAGGAGUCAGCCAGUAGUCGCACAGAGCGCUCCCCAAAAACCUUAUCACCCUUCUCCCGUACAAGACUCAAAGAUGUGCGGUUUCGGAGGCCUACUGUCCCGACCUGCGGUGCACUCCGCAAGCCGGGAUGAGGAAGAGAACAACAGCUCAGAGAUUGGAACCGAUGGUGAGAGAAAGGAGAAGUUCUGGUGCGUCUCUCUGAGAGGAGCGACCUCCCUUUUAUAGGCGCAAGAGAAGGAGGCGAGAGGCUGCGCCGGGAGCUGAAGGGAACGCGGGAGAUGAAACGAACAGACAACAGCCGAAGGGUGCAGUGUUCGUAUUCAAUAUCCACUACAGCAAAAACUUUCCAGAUCCCGAGUGACCUUUUGUAUACCCGUAGUGCAUGGCAAAAAUUUAGAUAUCGGCUCGGCUCAUUCCCACAACCCGCGGCGCGGCGCGUCGUGACGCAGCGGGCGGCGGAGGAGGAGCGCGCGUGGAUGUCCCUCUUGUUCUCAUGCUCAUACAAGUGGGGAAAGAAUCUCCCUUAUAAGGAGGUCCAACUCCCACUAAACUAGCAAUGUGGGACUAAACUUUAGUAGUAUUCCUUGCUUUGCACAAAUGGGCUAAGUGGGCCUCUAGGAUUUAUUAGGAAUUUCUGAAAUAGUUAUUGGGCUGCCCCCAAUAUAGACUAAAUUCCAGCACCUAUCCCAUGGCUAUAAUCAACUUGUCUCUAGUAUGACAAUUUUGGCACCACAUACUUAUCAACUUAUCAUAUGUUACAUGUUGUAAAAAACAUGGAAAUUGACUUCCACUUUGUUAGAUAAAUAAUUGCCCGGAAGUUGUUGGCAUUCGGUUUAUAUUCCUGAAAUGACCAAGUAGCAUACGAUUUUAUCAAGGUUCUUCCAGUAUGAAGCUUGGAAGAACUUCAGGUGUAAUUUCAACCAGUCAAACUCAUGAUGAAAAGAUGAUGUUUGAACUAGAUAACUGGAAUAUGUUGUACCAAUUGUAUUGUAUCAAAGUUGGUUCUAGAUAAAACCGGUCUAUAUUGUAAACGAAUGCAACAUCAACUUACACAACAAGGCUUGCAAAAAAUCGCUGUAAAUUAUAAUUGGCUUAUGGUUCCUAUUAGUAAAGGUAACUCAACCCCUACGAAAGUAACACGCUUCAAUGAAAUAAGAACAAAGCUCCAGUCUCGAAAAAAAAACAAUUGUUUGUUGUUGUUGAGAAAACAACACAGGCUUUCUAUAGUUCAGUACAAGAAUAAAAAAUAUAUUAGAAGUACCUCGGUUUCUAUGGGCAAACGACCCCCCCCCCCUUAUGGGACAAGUGGACUAUUCGAAGAAUAAGAAACAACAUGACAACAUAAGUAAAUUGUCUUGUAUGCACUUGACCGCAAUUGGAUCAGAACCUCCUCCAUCUCAAUGGAGAGUCUAAUCUAGCCAAUAUCUUUGCACAUUGUCUGUUUUUUUUCUAAAUUUUAUAUACCCAUUGGCCUCACUGAUAGGGUAAGUGCACAUUUUCAUGCCCAUGGGUAGUGCCCAAAUGCUACCCGACUAGUCAUGACUAAGGCAUGGGUAUAAUUGUAUGCCCAUGGGUACGUUCAAACCCGACCCACCGAUCUUAUAGGUGGAUCACAUGUGCUAUAAACCUAAAAUAUCAAGUAUCAAUAUAAGGCAUGAAUCACUAGACAUACAUACCAUAGUCUACCUCUCGAUGGCGUCAAUGAACCAAGCAACUACGCCACCACCCUUCAAUGAUGUGUUGAUAUGCCUAAUGGGUGUCCAUCGAGAAUCGAUACCCGUUGGAUAUAAGCACGGGCAUGGAUUUGUGCAUGAUGGAUAGAAUUUUACGCCCAUGAGAAACAUGGGUAUGGCUAUGCGAUUAUUGUGCCUGCAUCAUACUCUACCUACUGCCAUCUUUAGAACUGCUACAUUUGGAGAGUGAUACCAAUGAUGUUUUUGCCCAUCUAAAAGGCCCAUUGUCGUGAAAAAAUCAAUGAGGCCAAUAUUCCAAUGGUUACCUUCGGCCCAUUCCACUCUUAUUCGCCUUAGUUUAUAUGUUGUUCUAGCCUCUCACCCAGGCUCACAGUUGUUAGUAUUGGCAUGAUCUAGACUGCACCCACAUACCAACACUGGUCUUUACCGCACACUUUGUCCUCAUUCAUGCGUAUGCAAAAAGAACUUCACGGUCACUGAAGUAACUUGAAGAUGAGUUUUCCAAAAAAGAAGACGCAUCUUGUUUAUAUGACUAGUCUAUCAUUCCUUUAAGCCAGGAUGUCACACAGAGUAGUGGUUGCACCCAACUUCAGUGCACCCACGAAGUGAACAGUUAAUUUAAAAAAAUAGGAAAAAAAAACUUGAAACUUCAAGGAUGUGAUUAUGAGAAAAUGUUUUUUAAGCUUGCAAAGUUUGGUCACCAAAAAACAUCAAUGAUCUCCAUACAAAACGAAAUACAAAAAAUGCUCUGCACCCAAGUUACUAUUCAUAUGUUUUCAGCACAAACUGCAGCUCGUCGGUUGUCAUUUCACCACCAAAUUUUGCAAGCGCCUAAAACAUUGGUCAAAAUCGCAUCCACGAAAUUUCAUAAUUUUUUAUAUGUUUUUCUAAGGUUUUGAACGUGGGUGCACAAAAACCACACUUUUAAGCUAGGAUGUCAUACAGAGUAUCCAGAGAAAAUGUUUGUUUAUGAUCAAAAGGCUGGUGGGCCACACAUUUUGGCUAAGUUUAGUCCAGUCAUCGUUCGUGCUAGGUCGUUGGUUUCGGGGCUUCUUUGUGGACUUAUCCCAACUCUCCUCAUUAUAAAAGAAAAUAUUUGCUCCCGCGUCGCGGGCAUAGGUCCAUUUCUAGGCUGAACUUCUACAACAUGUGUAUUUUUUUCUAAAUCGAGGGCUUGUUUGGUUCAUGGAAAAAGGACAGGAAUCGGCGAUUUUCUAUAAGCACCAUUGAGACAUCUGGUUCAAAGGAAUGCCACAAAGGGAAAGAGGGGGAAUUUGUUUUUGGUGUCACUUUCAAAGGAUAAAAAUGUAUUUUACGAUCUAACUUACCUCUUUGUAGAAUUCCUAUUUAUGAAGUGCCAAACCAGAAUCUUUAUUGAUAUUAUAUCAUCUUAAUUACACCUUUUCAUUUUUCCUAUAGACAUUUGAAAGUGUUGUUUGCUUUUAAAAACGUCUUAUAUUGUGGGACGGAGGGAGUAUGAAUCAUGGGCAGCAUAAUGUAUAUAAUCUUUAUACAUGGGAGAGUACGGUAUCUUGGCUUUUGGAUAGUGAGAGCUGAGAAAAAACAUGGGCAUGUUGUAAAAAAAGUGUCCUAUUUUUUACAUCCCCUAGGAGAAUUUUUUCUGCUUUUUUUGUUUCUAUUCCUACAAAAGGUGGAUCCGACGUAACAAUUACGGGGACACGGCCUAUAUAAUUGUUACAAAUGAGAGAGUACGGGGGUUUGGCCUUUAGGAUGGUGAGUGCUCAAGGAAAACAUGCAUACAUUGCCAGAAAAGCACUAUUUCUAGAUGUAGAAGAGAAGUCAUUCCGUGACGGGGUUCAUUUGUACCGAAUUCUCACGUUCUUGAAAUAAAGAGUUCUCUUCUCGUUGGUUCUCAUGGAAUCCCCAAGAGUAGCCAGUAUGCUACGGUUGUACUAUUAUGAUGGGUGGGUUGUUGGUGGAGAGAUGUUUCACUAAUGGUAUGCCCAAGAGUAGGACACUACGCCACUACAUGUACAAGGUUCGCCGCACAAAGUACUCUUAUGAACAUGGAGUAAACUGUUUAAGAACGAGCAUUUUUUGCAUGGGCAUGUGUACCCGACUCGCAUGACUCUAAUUAUAUGCCCAUGAGUAGAGGCCAGGAUUUAGACACAUUUACGUGCCCAUGGUAGAGGCUAGGGUUUAAACACAUUUACCCCAUGAGUAGGGCACGGGUCUAAUUAUGUGUCCAUGGGAAUGAAUAAAAGGCUGCUGGACCCACACAUGUUGGCUAAGUUAAGUCUAUGGUACUUCUGAUUGUGCGGUCACAGUUCAUGCUAAGCAUUUCUUUCGCCGCCUCUUUGUAAACUUAUCCUUUCGGCCCUCAUUUAAAAUAAAAAUAUGUUGGCCCCUACACGGCAUAUGUCCAUUUCUGGGUUGAACUUCUACAUCAUGUGUAUUUCUUUUUUUUUCUCUUUCUAAAUUGAGGGCUUGUUUGGUUCAUGGAAAAAGUAUAGGAAGAGGAAUUUUUCUAUAAGAACCAUUCACUCAUUUGGUUCAAAGGAAUACCACAAAGGAAUAGUCGAGAAUUUUUUUGGUCUUGCUUUCAAAGGAAAAAAAAUGCAAUUUACAAUCUAAUUUGACCUCUUUGUUGAUUUCCUUUUUAUGAAGUACCUAACGGGAGUCUUCAGUGACAUGGUACUAUCAUCUUAAUUGUACCUUUUUAUAUGGUUUGACUUAUAUUUAUUGUAUUCAGUGGAAUUCCUGUGUUUUUUCUCUGUUAUGGUGAACCAAACACGUAAGUUUACAUAAUUCUUAUGUUUUCCAGUCCACCGUUUUGCACCAUAGUGUUUCCAUGUUUUUUCCUAUUCAUACAGACAUUGAAAGUAGCAAUCACAGGCAACACGGUGUAUAUAAUCUUUUUGCAUCGGAGAGCACGGGAGUUUGGCCUCUAGGAUGGUGAUAGCUGAAGAAAAAACGUGCACAUUUUGUAGGAAAAAAAAACACUACAUUUACAUAGCCUAGGAGAAACGUUUUCCUGCAUUUCCACCCCUUACUCCUACGGAUGUCGAAAGUAGCAAUUAUGGGGACACACGCGUAUAUAAUUGUACGCAUGAGAGAGUACGGGGGUUUGGCCUUUAGGGCGGUGAGAGUUCAAGGAAAACGUGCAUAUUUUGUCAAAGAAGCACUGUUUCUAGACGCGCAAGAGAAGUCACCCCGUGACGGUGUUCGUUUUGGACCGAAAUUCUCACGUUCUUGAAAUAAAGAGUCCUCCUCUCGUGGGUUCUGACGAAGUCGCCCAAGAUUAGCACGUAGUAGUACGUAU